UUAUGGCCAUACCAAGUUGAAACAUCAGUCCUCAUAUGAUCACCAAAGUUAAGCAUUGUUUAACCUGGUCAGUACUGAGAUAGGUUACCACUUAAGAAUAGCAGGUGUUGUAAG